rnacentral:rRNA from 1 species
AUUGAACGCUGGCGGCAGGCCUAACACAUGCAAGUCGAACGGUAACAGGAAGAUGCUUGCUUCUUUGCUGACGCGUGGCGGACGGGUGAGUAAUGUCUGGGAAACUGCCUGAUGGAGGGGGAUAACUACUGGAAACGGUAGCUAAUACCGCAUAACGUCGCAAGACCAAAGAGGGGGACCUUCGGGCCUCUUGCCAUCGGAUGUGCCCAGAUGGGAUUAGCUAGUAGGUGGGGUAACGGCUCACCUAGGCGACGAUCCCUAGCUGGUCUGAGAGGAUGACCAGCCACACUGGAACUGAGACACGGUCCAGACUCCUACGGGAGGCAGCAGUGGGGAAUAUUGCACAAUGGGCGCAAGCCUGAUGCAGCCAUGCCGCGUGUAUGAAGAAGGCCUUCGGGUUGUAAAGUACUUUCAGCGGGGAGGAAGGGAGUAAAGUUAAUACCUUUGCUCAUUGACGUUACCCGCAGAAGAAGCACCGGCUAACUCCGUG